UACGUAGGUGACAAGCGUUGUCCGGAUUUACUGGGCGUAAAGAGCGCGCAGGCGGUCGAUCAAGUCGAGUGUGAAAGCCCCCGGCUCAACUGGGGAGGGUCAUUCGAUACUGAUCGACUCGAAGGCAGGAGAGGGUAGUGGAAUUCCCGGUGUAGUGGUGAAAUGCGUAGAUAUGCGGAGGAACACCGAUGGCGAAGGCAAUCCCCUGGGCCUGCACUGACGCUCAUGCACGAAAGCGUGGGGAGCAAACAGG
rnacentral:rRNA from 1 species